UACGUAGGUGGCAAGCGUUGUCCGGAAUUAUUGGGCGUAAAGCGUGCGCAGGCGGUCCUUUAAGUCUGAUGUGAAAGCCCACGGCUCAACCGUGGAGGGUCAUUGGAAACUGGAGGACUUGAGUACAGAAGAGGAAAGCGGAAUUCCACGUGUAGCGGUGAAAUGCGUAGAGAUGUGGAGGAACACCAGUGGCGAAGGCGGCUUUCUGGUCUGUAACUGACGCUGAGGCGCGAAAGCGUGGGGAGCAAACAGG
rnacentral:rRNA from 1 species